AUUGAACGCUGGCGGCAUGCUUUACACAUGCAAGUCGAACGGUAACAGGCCUUCGGGUGCUGACGAGUGGCGAACGGGUGCGUAAUGCAUCGGAACGUACCCAGAGGUGGGGGAUAACGCAGCGAAAGCUGUGCUAAUACCGCAUGUGAUCUGAGGAUGAAAGCGGGGGACCGAGCAGCAAUGUUUGGCCUCGCGCCUUUGGAGCGGCCGAUGUCGGAUUAGCUAGUUGGUGGGGUAAAGGCCUACCAAGGCGACGAUCCGUAGCUGGUCUGAGAGGACGACCAGCCACACUGGGACUGAGACACGGCCCAGACUCCUACGGGAGGCAGCAGUGGGGAAUUUUGGACAAUGGGCGCAAGCCUGAUCCAGCAAUGCCGCGUGCGGGAAGAAGGCCUUCGGGCUGUAAACCGCUUUUGGCAGGAACGAAACGGUGUCCGCUAAUACCGGGCGCUAAUGACGGUACCUGCAGAAUAAGCACCGGCUAACUACGUG
rnacentral:rRNA from 1 species